rnacentral:rRNA from 1 species
AUUGAACGCUGGCGGCAGGCCUAACACGCACGUCGAGCGGAUGAAGGGAGCUUGCUCCUGGAUUCAGCGGCGGACGGGUGAGUAAUGCCUAGGAAUCUGCCUGGUAGUGGGGGAUAACGUCCGGAAACGGGCGCUAAUACCGCAUACGUCCUGAGGGAGAAAGUGGGGGAUCUUCGGACCUCACGCUAUCAGAUGAGCCUAGGUCGGAUUAGCUAGUUGGUGGGGUAAAGGCCUACCAAGGCGACGAUCCGUAACUGGUCUGAGAGGAUGAUCAGUCACACUGGAACUGAGACACGGUCCAGACUCCUACGGGAGGCAGCAGUGGGGAAUAUUGGACAAUGGGCGAAAGCCUGAUCCAGCCAUGCCGCGUGUGUGAAGAAGGUCUUCGGAUUGUAAAGCACUUUAAGUUGGGAGGAAGGGCAGUAAGUUAAUACCUUGCUGUUUUGACGUUACCAACAGAAUAAGCACCGGCUAACUUCGUG